GCUUAACGCGAAGAACCUUACCUGGCCUUGACAUGCAGGAGACCGGCGCUGAAAGGCGCCUUUCCUUCGGGACUGCUGCACAGGUGCUGCAUGGCUGUCGUCAGCUCGUGUCGUGAAAUGUUGCGUUAGGUCGCGCAACGAGCGCAACCCCUGUCCUUAGUUGCCAUCAUUAAGUUGGGCACUCUAAGGAGACAAACCCUCUCUGAGGGUGGGAAGGUGGGGAUGACGUCAAGUCAGGAUGGCCCUUACGGCCAGGGCUGCACACGUACUACAAUGCCCGGUACAGAGGGACGCAAUACCGUGAGGUAAAGCAAAUCUCCAAAACCGGGCCCAGUUCAGAUUGUAGUCUGCAACUCGACUACAUGAAGUUGGAAUCGCUAGUAAUGGCGCAUCAGCUACGGCGCCGUGAAUACGUUCCCGGGUCUUGUACACACCG
rnacentral:rRNA from 1 species